GACGAACGCUGGCGGCGUGCUUAACACAUGCAAGUCGAACGCUGAAGACCUGGCUUUUGUUGGGUUGGAUGAGUGGCGAACGGGUGAGUAGCACGUGAGUAACCUGCCCUCUUCUUUGGGAUAACGCCCGGAAACGGGUGCUAAUACUGGAUAUUCACUGAUCUUCGCAUGGGGGUUGGUGGAAAGGUUUGUUCUGGUGGGGGAUGGGCUCGCGGCCUAUCAGCUUGUUGGUGGGGUGAUGGCCUACCAAGGCUUUGACGGGUAGCCGGCCUGAGAGGGUGACCGGUCACAUUGGGACUGAGAUACGGCCCAGACUCCUACGGGAGGCAGCAGUGGGGAAUAUUGCACAAUGGGCGAAAGCCUGAUGCAGCGACGCCGCGUGAGGGAUGGAGGCCUUCGGGUUGUAAACCUCUUUCGCUCAUGGUCAAGCCGCAACUGUGGGUUGUGGUGAGGGUAGUGGGUAAAGAAGCGCCGGCUAACUACGUG
rnacentral:rRNA from 1 species